GACGAACGCUGGCGGCGUGCCUAAUACAUGCAAGUCGAGCGGAACUGGGGGAGCUUGCUCCUUCCAGUUUAGCGGCGGACGGGUGAGUAACACGUGGACAACCUGCCCUGCAGAUCGGGAUAACUCCGGGAAACCGGUGCUAAUACCGAAUAGUUUGGCGCCUCUCCUGAGGCGCUACGGAAAGACGGUUUCGGCUGUCACUGCAGGAUGGGCCCGCGGCGCAUUAGCUAGUUGGUGGGGUAACGGCCCACCAAGGCGACGAUGCGUAGCCGACCUGAGAGGGUGACCGGCCACACUGGGACUGAGACACGGCCCAGACUCCUACGGGAGGCAGCAGUAGGGAAUCUUCCGCAAUGGACGCAAGUCUGACGUAGCAACGCCGUGUGAGUGACGAAGGUUUUCGGAUCGUAAAACUCUGUUGUGAGGGAAGAACACGUACCAACUAACUAUUGGUACCUUGACGGUACCUCGCCAGAAAGCCACGGCUAACUACGUGCCAGCCGCCGCAGUAA
rnacentral:rRNA from 1 species